AGUGAAGUGAAGAAAGAAAAACAUGAUGUGUUUGACUACUUUUGGCCCAGCUAAAAUUAAUGACUUCGAUGUCCGCUCUUCCUAUCGUUGAGAAACAGAAUUAACCAAAUAUUGGAUUGUUCAUCCCCUCACAGGGAACACGAGCUGGGUUAAUUUGCUGUGAGAUGGGUUCGUUUUACCCCACCAAUGAUGAGUUAUCGCGAUUGCAAUCCUACUGAGUAUAAGAGAACCGCAGGUUCAGACAUUUGGUGUCUGUGCUUGGCUGAGGAGCCAAUGGUGCAAAGCCACCAUCUGUGGGAUUAUGACUGAAUGCCUGUAAAGGAGAAUUCCCCUUAAAAGAGGGUGAUUUAACGAGACAGGUUUAUUUAAGGGAAAUUGUAUUGAUGGAGCAAUAAAGGACAGAGCGCUGAAGUCACACAUUUGGGUGAUUGGCGGUUCAGAGCCUUUAUCUCUUUGCUGUUUGGUUGAGUGUGUUGAAACAUGUUAAACCAAGAGGUGAAACUGUUGGUGCACUUGUCAGUUUUGACAUUAAUGU
rfam:Lepisosteus oculatus linkage group LG12, whole genome shotgun sequence.